rnacentral:ncRNA from 1 species
GUCUAAGUAUAAACAAUUUGUACUGUGAAACUGCGAAUGGCUCAUUAUAUCAGUUAUAGUCUACUUGGCAGUACCUUACUACUUGGAUACCCGUAGUAAUUCUAGAGCUAAUACAUGCGUAAAUACCCAACGACAUGCUCGUGACCUGGUCGCGGUCGUCGCAGUAAGCGCACGUGAUGAACUUGACGUCACUCAGAUGUGCUGUGAGAUGCGUCCGCAGCGGUUUGAUGACGUCGCUGCAAAAGGCGCGGUGCGCGUCGCUGUUUUGAACCAGUGCCUUGUGAG